UAACAGCCUGUUCCACGAUCUCGAAAGAAAAUUUGUGCGAACGAAGGCAACUCACUCACUUUCGCAUAAGAAUGCGUUCCACUAACUUUCGUUCUUUCUUUCGCAUAGCCUUACGUGAUUCAGUGUUGCAAAAUAUUUUUUGGCAAAAUUAAUCGCGAAAUAAGGCAAAAAAAGCGCCAAAUGUCUAAUUUAAACGCGAAAAAGCAGCAGUGGCUCUGUCUCAACUGACAGUUCAGUUGUAAACAAACAAAUUGUAAAUAAACAAACAAAAUAAAAUUUCUAGUGAUUGUGUUUAGAUUAUUUGUGUUCUUAAAAAAGAAAAAAAAUGAAUAUUUCUGUAGCCCUAUUUUUUAUGGAUGAUGAGGAGGAGGUUCAAAUUGUGCCACGGAGGCAUUUAAGAGAUGCUUCGAAUUUAUUUGAAGUACCUAACAACCAGUUUGUGUCUUCCAGUGGUCUUCAUGGGAUUGCCUGCUGCUUCCAAAAAUUGGCACUCCUCUGGCGAACUUAGGAUUCUCCCCCAUAUACUCAACUAGUGCCCGCAGCUGUGUAGUUUUUUCGUGCUGGAAUUGAGAAAAUAAAAAAAUAUAUAUUUGUUGUUCACAGAUUAAA